rnacentral:tRNA from 1 species
GUAGGUUAAAGUUUUACAGGCCUU